UAUAUAGUUGAGCUGGAAUGCUAUCAGUAGCAAACCGGCUUUAUUGUCACCUAUUUGUUUUUUAUGAUGGAGCCUUUAAAUUGACGAUCGGCACCGUUGAAUAUUAUCUAUACCACUUGAAGUAUCUAGAAACCAAUUUUCAAAUCUUUUUGACAUCAUUGACCUAAUGAUCAAAGGGUUUCAAAAUUUAUAAUUUUAAUGGCAGUUAUAAGGCGUUUUCUCAUUUAACGGUGUAAAGUUAUCUAAAUUAAUUGAACUUUGGUUAGAAAAUUUUUAAACUAUUUAGAAUAAGAUCUAUACUCUCGAUCUUGAUUACAAAAUUCCUAUCAUCAUUUUUUAGAGGAUAUUCAUUUUCAGUCGGUCAUUUUUACGCCCACUCGAUAGACAAGAUAACAAUAUCGGAAAAGUAUGAAAUUUGAUUUCUAGAUACUUCAAGUGGUAUAGAUCAUGUUCAGCGAUGCCGAUCGUCGAUUUGGAGGGUCCAUCAUCGAAAACAAAUGGGUGGCAACGGAGCCCGUUUGCUAUCAAUAGUAUUCCAGCUCAACUAUAUAUA
rnacentral:lncRNA from 1 species